AACGAACGCUGGCGGCAUGCCUAACACAUGCAAGUCGAACGAGACCUUCGGGCCUAGUGGCGCACGGGUGCGUAACGCGUGGGAAUCUGCCCUUGGGUUCGGAAUAACAGUUGGAAACGACUGCUAAUACCGGAUGAUGACGUAAGUCCAAAGAUUUAUCGCCCAAGGAUGAGCCCGCGUAGGAUUAGCUAGUUGGUGAGGUAAAGGCUCACCAAGGCGACGAUCCUUAGCUGGUCUGAGAGGAUGAUCAGCCACACUGGGACUGAGACACGGCCCAGACUCCGACGGGGAACAGCAGUGGGGAAUAUUGGACGAUGGGCGAAAGCCUGAUCCAGCAGUGCCGCGUGAGUGAUGAAGGCGUUAGGGUUGUAAAGCUCUUUUACCCGAGAUGAUAGUGACAGUACCGGGAGAAUAAGCUCCGGCUAACUCCGUG
rnacentral:rRNA from 1 species